AUUGAACGCUGGCGGCAUGCCUAACACAUGCAAGUCGAGCGGAUGAACGGGGCUUUCUCCUGUAUUCAGCUGCGGGCGGGUGGGUAAUGCCUAGGAGUCUGCCUUGUCGUUGGGGAUGACGUCCGUAAAGGGGCCCUGAUACCGCAUCCGUCCUGAUGUUGAACGGGGUGGAUCUUCGGACAUCACGGGAUCUGAUGAGCCUAGGUCGGAUUAGCUAGUUGGUAGGGUAACGGCCUACCAAGGCGACGAUCCGUAACUGGUCUGAGAGGAUGAUCAGUCACACUGGAACUGAGACACGGUCCAGACUCCUACGGGAGGCAGCAGUGGGGAAUAUUGGACAAUGGGCGAAAGCCUGAUGCAGCAAUGCCGCGUGUGUGAAGAAGGUCUUCGGAUCGUAAAGCACUUUAAGUUGGGAGGAAGGGCAGUAAGUUAAUACAUUGCUGUUUUGACGUUACCAAAAGAAUAAGCACCGGCUAACUUCGUG
rnacentral:rRNA from 1 species